ensembl:lncRNA
UUUUAAAAGGAGACAAGUAGUCUCUAGUUUUUAAAUCAUGCACCGAGGAGAAAUACAGGGUUGUGAUGGGUUGGAAGGGGGUUAACACAGAGGGGUUGGAAGGGGUAGGGUUAACACAGAGGGGUUGGAAGGGGGUAGGUUUAACCCAGAGGGGUUGGAAGGGGGUUAACCCAGAGGGGUUGGAAGGGGGUUAACCCAGAGGGGUUGGAAGGGGUAGGGUUAACACAGAGGGGUUGGAAGGGGUAGGGUUAACACAGAGGGGUUGGAAGGGGUAGGGUUAACACAGAGGGGUUGGAAGGGGUAGGGUUAACACAGAGGGGUUGGAAGGGGGGUUAACACAGAGG